CGGGGAGAUUGCAUAUUUAGAAAACUGUUAGAGCACACGCGAAUUGAAGAAGAUUUAUUUGAGAAAAACGGGAAAACUCUUAUUGAUUUCUUGAAAAUUUGGGGAUUACAAUUUGAGGUGUGUGUGAAAUCCGUCAUUAGAAAGGAACAAAUCAGUAGGGCGGACGAACGAAUCAAGAAAAGAAGGCAAAAACUGCGACAUUGAGUUGAUCAAGUCAAAAAUCGAGCGGAGUCAGCAGGAGUUCUGCAUUGGGAGAUAGAGCUAAAGACCCCACCACUAAUUGUGAUGGGCAGGAACGACAUUUUAGAGAGGAUGGUACCCUAGGUAUCAGAGCCCUACGCCUCUCUAUAUAAAGGAAGCCCGACACAAGAAAAAGAGAGUCCCAACCAGUGGUGAAAGGGGGAUCUCAUAAGCUUUCUUAGUUAGAAUAUCUUUAGGAAUUCAACUCUCUUCUAAGGUUGAAAUCGGAGCUCUUUUCACUUCAUCUUCUUGAUUUCGUCGCACAUACACACUUGGUCUUGUUCUAGUUUAGUUUAGCUGGUAGUUUGGUGGUGGUUUACUGCACUUUUAUCUUUCGAUUCUGUUAUUCCACUCCGAGAAGGGGUGAUG